rnacentral:rRNA from 1 species
UACGUAGGGUGCAAGCGUUUGUCCGGAAUUAUUGGGCGUAAAGAGCUCGUAGGCGGUCUGUCGCGUCGGCUGUGAAAACCCGAGGCUCAACCUCGGGCCUGCAGUCGAUACGGGCAAACUAGAGUACUGCAGGGGAGACUGGAAUUCCUGGUGUAGCGGUGAAAUGCGCAGAUAUCAGGAAGAACACCCGUGGCGAAAGCGGCUCUCUGGAACGGUACUGACGCUGAGGAGCGAAAAGCGUGGGGGAGCGAAACAGGG